rnacentral:rRNA from 1 species
UGAGGAAUAUUGGUCAAUGGGCGAGAGCCUGAACCAGCCAAGUAGCGUGCAGGAUGACGGCCCUAUGGGUUGUAAACUGCUUUUAUAUGGGAAUAAAGUGAGGGACGUGUCCCUUAUUGCAUGUACCAUAUGAAUAAGGACCGGCUAAUUCCGUGCCAGCAGCCGCGGUAAUACGGAAGGUCCAGGCGUUAUCCGGAUUUAUUGGGUUUAAAGGGAGCGUAGGCCGUUUGGUAAGCGUGUUGUGAAAUGUAGGAGCUCAACUUCUAGAUUGCAGCGCGAACUGCCAGACUUGAGUGCGCACAACGUAGGCGGAAUUCAUGGUGUAGCGGUGAAAUGCUUAGAUAUCAUGAAGAGCUCCGAUUGCGAAGGCAGCUUACGGGAGCGCAACUGACGCUGAAGCUCGAAGGUGCGGGUAUCGAACAGG